CGCGCUCAGCACCGCGGCAACCCGGGACGGCGGCGGUUCCGUCACUCCCGACAUGUCUCGAGAGAGCGGGAGCGAAGCGCAGCCGCCGCCGGGAGCCCCCCAGUCCCAGAGCGGUGCCAGCUCCUCCUCCGGGGCGUCCCAGGGCACCAGCCAGUCUUCGUCCAGCUCGGGGACUGUCAGUUCCUUGGACACUGUUCCUACCCAGGACCUUCCGUCUAUCCCUGAGGACCAGGAAUCCGAAGAGCUUAUUCCUCAGCCCUGGGGUCGGCUCUUUGCACUCGGGAAGGGUUUCUGCAACUGGGACUGCGUGAAUGACGAAUACUGGUUUGGGAGAGACAAAAGCUGUGACUACAGUUUUUCUAAGCUAGGACUGUCUGAGACUGGCUUCUACCAGAACUAUAGCAAGAAGCACUUCCGAAUUUUCAGGGAAAUGGGUCCAAGAAAUUCAUAUGUUGCCUACAUUGAAGACCACAGUGCAAAUGGAACCUUUGUUAACAGAGAGCUCAUUGGAAAAGGGAAGAGGCUUCCACUGACUCACAACACUGAAAUUGCAUUGUCUGUACAGACUAAUAAGGUGUUUGUAUUUUCUGAUCCUAUGGUGGAUGAUCAGUUGGUGUUUCCUCGGGAAUUCAGAGAGAAAUAUAUCAUGUCCAAGACUUUAGGAAGUGGUGCCUGUGGAGAAGUCAAACUGGCGUUUGAGAAGAGCACUUGUAACAAAGUUGCAGUGAAGAUCAUUAAUAAACGGAAGUUUCUUGCGAGUGGGAUCGAGGCAAAUCCAGCUUUUAAUAUCAAUACAGAAAUUGAAAUUUUGAAGAAAAUUGAUCAUCCUUGCUUAAUCAAGAUCAAAAACUUCUUUGAAGCAGAGGAUUACUACAUUGUGUUGGAACUGAUGGAAGGAGGAGAAUUGUAUGACAGACUGUCAAGGCCAGUCAAGAUGAAAGAAGCUACCUGCAAGUUGUAUUUUUAUCAAAUGCUGCUGGCUGUAAAGUAUCUUCAUGACAAUGGAAUUAUACACAGGGAUCUGAAGCCAGAGAAUGUGCUGCUUUCAUCCUCUGAAGAGACAUGUCUGAUAAAGAUUACAGAUUUUGGACAAUCCAAGAUUCUUGGAGAAACUUCUCUUAUGAAAACUUUAUGUGGUACUCCCACGUAUCUUGCUCCUGAGGUUCUAAAUUCACUUGGGACUGCUGGAUACAGCCGAGCUGUGGACUGCUGGAGUUUAGGAGUUAUUCUUUUUGUAUGCUUGUGUGGCUACCCACCAUUCAAUGAACAGAAUACUCAACUGUCUCUGAGAGAUCAAAUCACUCGUGGAGAAUACACGUUCAUUUCAAAAGAAUGGAAGCAUGUGUCACACCUGGCUCUGGAUCUUGUGAAGAAGCUGUUAGUAGUGGAUCCAAGCAAGCGUCUUACAACUGAAGAAGCCUUAGAGCAUCCUUGGCUUCAGUUCUAGAUAUCAUACACGUUGAAUACUACAACCCAAAGAGCAACUUGAGUCCUGUUACUGUGAGUAGUGAGAAGGAGUUACUGGCUCCCCACUCCCUCUUGUGUUGUCUGUUUGCUUUGAAGAGGCAGUAAUGAAAACUACCCAGAUUUCGGAUACUGAUGAAGCUGAGCUAGUAGAAACGAAAACAUGCUAUUAGAAAGGGAAGUCGUUAUGAGAACAAAAUGUAAGACAGUAAGGAAAAUACUUGUUUUUCAAGAGCAAUUAACUCUGGUGAUAGCAGGCCCCAAGUCCUUAUGAGGCCUCCUCUGCUAAGGCUGCCUAAUGAAUUACCUGCAGAAACUCCUAGCCCAUAUGUUCUGUUCUUUCAAUGCCGUUACACUUUGUUGAAUGAUAAUGCAAGUUCAAAUUUAGCUUGACUAGUAUUAUCUAAGUAGUUACUAAGGGACAACUGUGUAUUUGGAGAAUGAAAUAAAACUAUUUUUUAUUACCAGCACUGCACAUAAACCAGCUGCUCAAAAUUCUACUAUGGGUAUAUCAGAAUCAUAGAAUCACAGAAUGGUUUGGACUGGAAGGGACUUUUGGAGAUCAUCUGGUACAACACCUCUGCCACAGUCUUAAAUAUUCCCUAUUCUACUUAAGAGUUACUGCUUUUCU